GGGGAUAUAGCUCACAUGGUAGAGCGCUUGCUUGUCGCAUUUGCAUGCAAGAGGUGCGGGGUUCGAUGCCCCGAAUCUCCA